ACGCUCUAGCAAAAGGUCACCCACCCGUGAAGGGGUCCUUAUCAUGCAAAUGGUGUGAACGCACGAAAGGCUCCUUAAAGCAACAGUAGAAGUCUGACACGUCAUUGCGAGUUGGGAGUGAAUGCGGUCUCAAUCGCUCGAGCCUAGCAGUGAAUCGGUUUGAAGAGAUAUUGGCGCCUUUACCAUCGGCGAACGGUGCAUCCCUCCCACAAGCAACUUUUCGGAGCUGGAGAGUUGAAGUCCGGAAUCGUGAGGUUCUCGCUGAAAACGGUAUAACUUCACCAGAAGGCAGCAUGAAGCUUGUGAUUGCUUACUGUAUGUUGGUCGUCUUGGCUAUGACUUUGCCACAAACACAGUGUGACAAGUGUUCCUUCGCCCGCAGAGACCGUUACACUGUACGCUGUGGAUUUUGGAGUUCGAAUAGAUGCACCAAAUACAGGUACACACUUGAUUAUCAAUGCUGCCCGGGAUGGACUGGAGCAGUGAGCGCUGGCUGCCCCAUCAGAGUUACAGAGCCAUCGGACCUUAGACCUGAGUGGCCAGACGCUAUGCCUUAAUUCAGAGGACCAGACGCAGGCUUACCUCAACCUUUUUGAGGUCACGGUUGAGUCUCUGACUGCUCACCAUCAUAAACGACGUUGCUACACUGAAAAUGUGUUGUUAGUUAAUCCAUAGCUAUCAAUAUUUUCACUGGAAAAUGUACACGGGGAGAAGAUGGUUUUUAAAUCUUGUUGGGUUGAACUAGUCUCUUUAUCAGUAGGUGAGGAAUAAGCUUUCAGGAAAUAUACCUCACAAACCCCAAAGCAUGGCUGUAGGAAACCAGACUUGAAAAAAAGGGUUGGCAUCCCAGAAGAGUUCUUUGUUUCUGCUCGUUUCUCAAACUACCGUUUUUCUUUAUAAAUAUUUGUUUGAUGAUCUCACGAAGUGAAAAAAACCUGAGAAAUCGAUAUUUUUUUCGAUCUGGGGUUUUUGCAGCCAUUUAGGUACAUUUGAUUCAACGAACAAGUUGGCACAGUAUUACAACUAAAUGUUGUGUACUUUUUAAUUGUCGUAAACAAACAUUCGACAAAAAGCUUGGUCUCCAGGUUUUUUGGUCUCACGAAGUUAAAAACCUGCUCGGUACCGGGGCAAAAAAAACAUAGCUCUGGUCGAAUGAAGAUGCCGUGUGCAUGCGUGCGUACGGCAUUUAACACGAACAGCCGGGUGCGUGUUUAAGGGUGCACUGAACUAAUUGGAGCCCCAUUGAAGACAAUGUGAAAUCGACCACGUUUGCAGCCCCGGUGCGGGCAACCGAAAACCGAAAAACUCAAAGCGACAAGUCACCAUGCUUUACAAUGAAAGGGAAUAUCCGUUUUUUUAUUUCAUAUAUUUCAUUUUUUCAUUGUAGCUCGUCAUAGACAUGUACUAAUUACACAAGAACUAGUGUUUCAGACUGAUCAGUGGUUUCAAAAGCCUUGAAUUUGUAGGGUGAGCAGUAUCAGAAUUUUUUGUGCGUGCUUUUAGCUCAACAUACGAAUGUAAUCGGAAAAUCUAUAACUUGCAAAUACAGAAAACACCGAUUUGUAAUCAUCGGUGAAUUAUACGAAAUUAAUAAGGAACAAAAACAGUUUAUACUGUCUUUUCAAUAUCCAGUGAGGGUAUAACAGUUUGUUUUUGUAGUCGGCACUCAUGAAUGUGCAAGAUAUUAUUGUGUCACGACACCUGCUUGUAUAUUGCGCUUAAGUAUCAUGUUAAAGUGGUUGUAUACAUCUUCGUUUUGCUUCGUCGCAAACGCCGAUUUAGCCGCCUCCUAUUUUACCAGUUAUGAAGCAACACUUGUUGCCAACCAAGAUGGAACGUUUACAACCUUUGGCCGCCACUGCAAAAGGGCGCUCCAUGUUUGUAAACAAAAGAAAAUAUUUGUAUGCAACAGUGGGGUUGGGAGAGGAUUGGAUGUGGAGAAUUUGUGACGUCAAAGAACGUUAUGUCAAGUUAUAAAAGUAUCCUUUUGAAUGGAAAGACACCUGGAAAGGGCAGAAUAAAGACUACAAGUCUUGAACAAAACAUA
rnacentral:lncRNA from 1 species